rnacentral:rRNA from 1 species
AUGAGGAGGAGGAGGCGCGCGCUCUCUCUACUCCUUGUCGCGGCCACCUACCUCUCCAUCUCGAUCGGCACCGACACCAUCGACCUGACCGCGUCCAUCACCGGCAACCAGACACUCGUCUCCGCCCGUGGAGCAUUCAGGUUAGGCUUCUUCACCCCGCCCGGCAGCUCCGGCGACAGGACCUACAUCGGCAUUUGGUACGCAGGCAUCCCAGUACAGACCGUCGUGUGGGUCGCCAACCGCAAGAAUCCGGUCGUCGGAUCCCCGGGCGUCCUCAAGCUCUCCCCUGACGGCCGCCUUGUAAUCAUCGACGGCCAGAACACCACCGUUUGGUCCUCCGCGGCGCCCACCGGAAACGUGGCCACCGCCGCCACCGCUCGGCUUCUCGACAGCGGCAACUUGGUCGUCAGCUCUGAUGGAAGUGGAUCGAGCCAGAGCGUGGCGUGGCAGAGCUUCGACCACCCGACGGACACGCAGCUCCCGGGCAUGAAGAUCGGGGUGGAUCACAGGAAUGGCUUCGCCUGGAACAUCACGUCGUGGAGCAGCCCGACUGACCCCUCGCCAGGGGAGUAUACGUUCAAGCUGGUCCCCGGCGGGCUCCCGGACUUCUUCCUCUUCGAGGGCCCCGAGAAAAUCUACUCGAGCGGGCCAUUCAACGGGGCCGGGCUCACCGGAGUGCCGAACCUCAUGUCCCAGGAUUUCCACUUCGCCGUCGUGGACAGCCCCGACGCGACGUACUACAGCUACUCCAUCACCAACCCUAAGCUGCUGUCGCGGUUCAUCAUGGACGGCACGGCGGGGCGGAUGCAGCGGUACGUGUGGCUCGACAGCGCGUGGAGAAGCUUCUGGUACUACCCGACGGACCCCUGCGACACCUACGGCAAGUGCGGGCCGUUCGGGUACUGCGACAUGAGCAAGACCCCGCUCUGCAGCUGCCUGCCGGGCUUCGAGCCGCGGUCGAAGCAGCAGUGGGACCUCAGGGACGGGACCAGCGGAUGCGUCAGGACGACCAACCUGAGCUGCGGUGCCGGAGACGGGUUCUGGCCGGUGAACCGGAUGAAGCUGCCGGAGACGACCAACGCGACGGUGCACGCCAACAUGACGCUGGACCAGUGCCGGCAGGCGUGCCUGGCCAACUGCAGCUGCAGAGCCUACUCCGCCGCGAACGUCAGCGGCGGGACCAAUCGCGGGUGCGUCAUUUGGGGCGUCGAUCUGCUUGACAUGAGGCAGUAUCCGGCGGUGGUGCAGGACCUGUACAUCCGGCUCGCGCAGCCAGAUGUAGAUGCCUUGAACGUCUCGGUUGCAGGUAAGCGCCGACGGUCCAUGGUGAUCGCUGUCGCCGCGGCUAUUUCCGGGGUGCUUCUUCUGGCGGCCGCUGGCUGCUUAUGUUUCUGGAGAUACAAGGCGAGGAGGAAGCGUCGGCGUCAGGAGCCUGAAACGGCGGCAGGCAGUGGAGACAACGUGCUUCCAAUGAGGGCCAGGAAACACCCUGAUUUGAGCCCAGCACGGGACGACGAGAACAAGGUGAGCAGCGGCGAAGACGAUCUGGACCUUCCGUUGUUCGAUCUCGCCGUGAUCCUCGCCGCCACGGACAACUUCGCGGCGGAGAGCAAGCUAGGUGAAGGUGGAUUUGGCCCUGUCUAUUUGGGGAGGCUUGAGGAUGGGCAAGAAGUAGCUGUGAAGAGGAUGUCCAAGAAAUCAUCACAAGGUGUCGAGGAAUUCAAGAACGAGGUGAGACUAAUCGCCAAGCUCCAGCACAGGAACCUGGUGAGGCUGCUCGGCUGCUGCAUCGAAGAAGACGAGAGGAUGCUCGUGUACGAGUUCAUGCACAACAACUGCCUGGAUACGUUUAUAUUUGAUGAGGCAAAGCGUAAGUUACUGGGAUGGAGCAAACGCUUCGAGAUCAUUCUGGGGAUCGCACGGGGUCUGCUCUAUCUCCACGAGGAUUCCAGGGUCAAGAUCAUCCACAGAGAUAUGAAAGCGAGCAACGUGUUGCUGGACAGAAACAUGGUCCCCAAGAUAUCGGACUUCGGCAUCGCCAGGAUGUUUGGCGGUGAUCAGACAACUGCGUACACCUUGAAGGUCAUCGGGACAUACGGUUACAUGUCUCCAGAAUACGCCAUGGAUGGCGUCUUCUCCAUCAAAUCCGACAUCUACAGCUUCGGCGUCAUGGUGCUGGAGAUCGUCACCGGCAAGAAAAUCCGAGGCUUUUACGAUGACGAGCUUGAUCUAAACCUUUGCGGUUAUGCGUGGAUGUUGUGGAAGGAAGGCAGGAGCACGGAGCUCCUGGACGAUGCGAUGGGCAACACUUGCGAUCAGAGUCAGGUGCGGAGGUGCAUACAGGUUGCUCUCAUGUGCGUCGACGUGCAGCCUAGGAACAGGCCGAUGAUGUCUUCGGUCGUCAUGAUGCUGGCCGGCGAGAAUGCCACGUUGCCGGAGCCAAAUGAGCCCGGAGUUAACCUAAGGAGGAACAGGACCGAUACAGGAUCUUCUGAAACUCAAAGAGAGUUCAGCUUCACCGUGACUACGACAGAUACUAGCUAG